rnacentral:misc_RNA from 1 species
GAUGAAGAACGUAGCGAAAUGCGAUAAGUAAUGUGAAUUGCAGAAUUCAGUGAAUCAUCGAAUCUUUGAACGCACAUUGCGCCCCCUGGUAUUCCGGGGGGCAUGCCUGUCCGAGCGUCAUUACAACCCUCAAGCUCAGCUUGGUGUUGGGCCCCGCCGCCCCGGCGGGCCCUAAAGUCGGUGGCGGUGCCGUCCGGCUCCGAGCGUAGUAAUUCUUCUCGCUCUGGAGGUCCGGUCGUGUGCUCGCCAGCAACCCCCAAUUUUUUUCAGGUUGACCUCGGAUCAGGUAGGGAUACCCGCUGAACUUAAGCAUAUCAAUAAGCGGAGGA